AUACGGGGGGAGCGAGCGUUGUCCGGAAUCAUUGGGCGUAAAGGGCGCGUAGGCGGAUUGGUCAGUCAGAUGUGAAAUGUCCCGGCUUAACCGGGGAGUUGCAUUUGAAACUUCCGAUCUAGAGUGUCGUAUGGGAUGAUGGAAUUCCUGGUGUAGCGGUGAAAUGCGUAGAUAUCAGGAAGAACACCGGUGGCGAAGGCGGUCAUCUGGGCGAAUACUGACGCUGAGGCGCGAAAGCGUGGGUAGCAAACAGAAGUAGAUACCCCGGUAGUCC
rnacentral:rRNA from 1 species